rnacentral:rRNA from 1 species
GCAUAUCAUAGCGGAGGAAAAGAACCACAGGGAUUGCCCCAGUAACGGCGAGUGAAGCGGCAAGAGCUCAAAUUUGAAAUCUGGCCUCCCUUGGGGGGUCCGAGUUGUAAUUUGUAGAGGAUGCUUCGGGUGUGGCCGCCGUCUAAGUUCCUUGGAACAGGACGUCGUAGAGGGUGAGAAUCCCGUCUUGGGCGGCCGGUCCGCGCCCGUGUGAAGCUCCUUCGACGAGUCGAGUUGUUUGGGAAUGCAGCUCUAAGCGGGUGGUAAAUUUCAUCUAAAGCUAAAUACUGGCCGGAGACCGAUAGCGCACAAGUAGAGUGAUCGAAAGGUUAAAAGCACCUUGAAAAGGGAGUUAAACAGCACGUGAAAUUGUUGAAAGGGAAGCGCUUGCGGCCAGACUCGAGGGGCGGGGUUCAGCGGGUGCGCGUCACCCGUGCACUCCCCGUCCCCCCGGGCCAGCAUCAGUUUCGACGGCCGGUCAAAGGCCCCCGGAAUGUGUCGUCUCUAGGGACGUCUUAUAGCCGGGGGUGCAAUGCGGCCCGCCGGGACUGAGGAACGCGCUCCGGCUCGGAUGCUGGCGUAAUGGCCGUAAGCGGCCCGUCUUGAAACACGGACCAAGGAGUCUAACAUCCACGCGAGUGCUCGGGUGUCAAACCCGUGCGCGCAGUGAAAGCGAACGGAGGUGGGAGCCCUAGGGCGCACCAUCGACCGAUCCUGAAGUCUUCGGAUGGAUUUGAGUAGGAGCGUGGCCGUUGGGACCCGAAAGAUGGUGAACUAUGCCCUGAAUAGGGUGAAGCCAGAGGAAACUCUGGUGGAGGCUCGCAGCGGUUCUGACGUGCAAAUCGAUCGUCAAAUUUGGGCAUAGGGGCGAAAGACUAAUCGAACUCAUCUAGUAGCUGGGUUCCUGCGAG